UGUGUAGGCGGUUGUAUUAGUCUCCUGUUAAAGGCCCGGGCUCAACCCGGGAGAUGCGGGGGAAACGGUACAACUAGAGGAUGAGAGAGGUGUACAGAACUCACGGUGUAGGGGUGAUAUCCGUUGAUAUCGUGGGGAAUACCAAAGGCGAAGGCAGUACACUGGCUCAUUCCUGACGCUGAGACACGAAAGCGUGGGUAGCGAACG
rnacentral:rRNA from 1 species